rnacentral:rRNA from 1 species
AAGUCGAGGGGCAGCAUGAUUUGUAGCAAUACAGAUUGAUGGCGACCGGCGCACGGGUGAGUAACACGUAAACAACCUGCCUUCAGGAUGGGGACAACAGACGGAAACGACUGCUAAUACCGGAUAGUAUAACGAGAAGGCAUCUUUUUGUUAUUAAAGAAUUUCGAUAACCGAUGGGGAUGCGUUCCAUUAGUUUGUUGGCGGGGUAACGGCCCACCAAGACAUCGAUGGAUAGGGGUUCUGAGAGGAAGGUCCCCACAUUGGAACUGAGACACGGUCCAAACUCC